rnacentral:rRNA from 1 species
UGAGGAAUAUUGGUCAAUGGGCGGGAGCCUGAACCAGCCAAGCCGCGUGAGGGAUGAAGGCCCUAUGGGUCGUAAACCUCUUUUGUCAGGGAACAAAAGCGAGUAUGUAUACUAGUCUGAGUGUACCUGAAGAAAAAGCAUCGGCUAACUCCGUGCCAGCAGCCGCGGUAAUACGGAGGAUGCGAGCGUUAUCCGGAUUUAUUGGGUUUAAAGGGUGCGUAGGCGGCGGUGCAAGUCAGCGGUAAAAGCCCGGGGCUCAACCCCGGCGAGCCGUUGAAACUGCAGUGCUAGAGAAGGCGAGAGGUACGCUGAAUGCGCAGUGUAGCGGUGAAAUGCUUAGAUAUUGCGCAGAACUCCGAUUGCGAAGGCAGCGUACUGGCGCCUGACUGACGCUGAGGCACGAAAGCGUGGGGAUCGAACAGGAUUAGAUACC